rnacentral:rRNA from 1 species
CCCUAUGGGGUGCAGCAGGAGAGGCUGCGUAGCGGUAAUGGCUUCGAAGCGCGUUCGCCGCGGGAGGCGCUGCUCUGGCGGUUGGCCGAUGAAAGCAUACUGGCUUCACUGCAAAGCGAACUGGGAGGGAUUAUUAAUGCGAAAGGGCGGCUUUUCGAAGACAGCCUGGAAGAGGAGGAAAGCAAUAUGCAAUACAACGUAAUUGAAACGCCGCAGGGGCGUUAUGUGGAAGUGGUUUCAAGCCCUGUGCCAAUACGGACCGAGCAGGACGCGCUCGAUCUCGUAGCGCUGUGCGGACAGGAUGAUACGAAUCGGCUGAUGAUUCAUGCGGAAGCGCUCUCGGAGGAAUUCUUCCGGCUGCGCACUGGGGUGGCGGGGGGGC